rnacentral:rRNA from 1 species
UUCCCCUAGUAGCGGCGAGCGAAGCGGGAAGAGCUCAAAUUUGUAAUCUGGCGCUUUCGGCGUCCGAGUUGUAAUCUCUAGAAGUGUUUUCCGCGUUGGACCGCACACAAGUCUGUUGGAAUACAGCGGCACAGUGGUGAGACCCCCGUUCACGGUGCGGAUGCCCAAUGCUUUGUGAUACACUUUCGAAGAGUCGAGUUGUUUGGGAAUGCAGCUCAAAUUGGGUGGUAAAUUCCAUCUAAAGCUAAAUAUUGGCGAGAGACCGAUAGCGAACAAGUACCGUGAGGGAAAGAUGAAAAGCACUUUGGAAAGAGAGUUAACAGUACGUGAAAUUGUUGGAAGGGAAACGCUUGAAGUCAGACUUGCUAUUCGGGCAACCGAGUUGCAGGCCAGCAUCAGUUUUUCGGGGCGGAAAAUCACGGUUAGAAGGUAGCAGUUUCGGCUGUGUUAUAGCUUUCCGUUGGAUACGUCCUGGGGGACUGAGGAACGCAGCGUGCUUUUUGCAGGAGCUUCGGCUUCAUCACGCUUAGGAUGCUGGUGUAAUGGCUUUAAACGACCCGUCUUGAA